rnacentral:rRNA from 1 species
UAGGGGAGCGAACGGGAUUAGAUACCCCGGUAGUCCUAGCUGUAAACGAUGGAUGCUGGGUGUGGGGGGUGUAAAUUCCCUCUGUGCCGAAGCAAACGCGUUAAGCAUCCCGCCUGGGGACUACGGCCGCAAGGCUAAAACUCAAACGAAUUGACGGGGGCCCGCACAAGCAGCGGAGCGUGUGGUNUAAUUCGAUGCUACACGAAGAACCUUACCUGGGUUUGACAUGCACGUGGUAGGGAACCGAAAGGGGACCGACCUUCGGGAGCGUGCACAGGUGCUGCAUGGCUGUCGUCAGCUCGUGCCGUGAGGUGUCGGGUUAAGUCCCGUAACGAGCGCAACCCUUGCCCUUAGUUACAAGUGUCUAAGGGGACUGCCCGGGACAACUGGGAGGAAGGUGGGGAUGACGUCAAGUCAGCAUGGCCUUUAUAUCCAGGGCUACACACACGCUACAAUGGCCGGUACAAUAGGUUGCGAAGUCGUGAGNCGGAGCCAAUCCUCAAAGCCGGUCUCAGUUCGAAUUGCAGUCUGCAACUCGACUGCAUGAAGCUGGAGUU